rnacentral:rRNA from 1 species
CGGACCGGCGCACGGGUGAGUAACACGUAUGCAACCUGGCCGCCACAGGGGGAUAACCCGCGGAAACGCGGCCUAAUACCCCGUGACGCCACCGGAGGGCAUCCUCCGGUGGCCAAAGGAGCGAUCCGGUGGCGGAUGGGCAUGCGGCGCAUUAGCUAGACGGCGGGGUGACGGCCCACCGUGGCGACGAUGCGUAGGGGUUCUGAGAGGAAGGCCCCCCACACUGGGACUGAGACACGGCCCAGACUCCUACGGGAGGCAGCAG